GAUGAACGCUGGCGGCGUGCCUAAUACAUGCAAGUCGAGCGAACAGACGAGGAGCUUGCUCCUCUGACGUUAGCGGCGGACGGGUGAGUAACACGUGGAUAACCUACCUAUAAGACUGGGAUAACUUCGGGAAACCGGAGCUAAUACCGGAUAAUAUAUUGAACCGCAUGGUUCAAUAGUGAAAGACGGUUUUGCUGUCACUUAUAGAUGGAUCCGCGCCGCAUUAGCUAGUUGGUAAGGUAACGGCUUACCAAGGCGACGAUGCGUAGCCGACCUGAGAGGGUGAUCGGCCACACUGGAACUGAGACACGGUCCAGACUCCUACGGGAGGCAGCAGUAGGGAAGCUUCCGCAAUGGGCGAAAGCCUGACGGAGCAACGCCGCGUGAGUGAUGAAGGUCUUCGGAUCGUAAAACUCUGUUAUUAGGGAAGAACAAAUGUGUAAGUAACUAUGCACGUCUUGACGGUACCUAAUCAGAAAGCCACGGCUAACUACGUG
rnacentral:rRNA from 1 species